GUAGGGAAUCUUCGGCAAUGGGGGCAACCCUGACCGAGCAACGCCGCGUGAGUGAAGAAGGUUUUCGGAUCGUAAAGCUCUGUUGUAAGAGAAGAACGAGUAUGAGAGUGGAAAGCUCAUACUGUGACGGUAACUUACCAGAAGGGGACGGCUAACUACGUGCCAGCAGCCGCGGUAAUACGUAGGUCCCGAGCGUUAUCCGGAUUUAUUGGGCGUAAAGCGAGCGCAGGCGGUUAGAUAAGUCUGAAGUUAAAGGCUGUGGCUUAACCAUAGUAUGCUUUGGAAACUGUUUGACUUGAGUACAGAAGGGGAGAGUGGAAUUCCAUGUGUAGCGGUGGAAUGCGUAGAUAUAUGGAGGAACACCGGUGGCGAAAGCGGCUCUCUGGUCUGUAACUGACGCUGAGGCUCGAAAGCGUGGGUAGCGAACAGG
rnacentral:rRNA from 1 species